rnacentral:rRNA from 1 species
GAUGAACGCUGGCGGCGUGCCUAAUACAUGCAAGUCGAGCGAACGGACGAGAAGCUUGCUUCUCUGAUGUUAGCGGCGGACGGGUGAGUAACACGUGGAUAACCUACCUAUAAGACUGGGAUAACUUCGGGAAACCGGAGCUAAUACCGGAUAAUAUUUUGAACCGCAUGGUUCAAAAGUGAAAGACGGUCUUGCUGUCACUUAUAGAUGGAUCCGCGCUGCAUUAGCUAGUUGGUAAGGUAACGGCUUACCAAGGCAACGAUGCAUAUCCGACCUGAGAGGGUGAUCGGCCACACUGGAAGUGAGACACGGUCCAGACUCCUACGGGAGGCAGCAGUAGGGAAUCUUCCGCAAUGGGCGAAAGCCUGACGGAGCAACGCCGCGUGAGUGAUGAAGGUCUUCGGAUCGUAAAACUCUGUUAUUAGGGAAGAACAUAUGUGUAAGUAACUGUGCACAGCUUGACGGUACCUAAUCAGAAAGCCACGGCUAACUACGUG